rnacentral:rRNA from 1 species
GAUGAACGCUGGCGGCGUGCCUAAUACAUGCAAGUCGAGCGAACAGACGAGGAGCUUGCUCCUCUGACGUUAGCGGCGGACGGGUGAGUAACACGUGGAUAACCUACCUAUAAGACUGGGAUAACUUCGGGAAACCGGAGCUAAUACCGGAUAAUAUGUUGAACCGCAUGGUUCAAUAGUGAAAGACGGUUUUGCUGUCACUUAUAGAUGGAUCCGCGCCGCAUUAGCUAGUUGGUAAGGUAACGGCUUACCAAGGCAACGAUGCGUAGCCGACCUGAGAGGGGGAUCGGCCACACUGGAACUGAGACACGGUCCAGACUCCUACGGGAGGCAGCAGUAGGGAAUCUUCCGCAAUGGGCGAAAGCCUGACGGAGCAACGCCGCGUGAGUGAUGAAGGUCUUCGGAUCGUAAAACUCUGUUAUUAGGGAAGAACAAAUGUGUAAGUAACUAUGCACGUCUUGACGGUACCUAAUCAGAAAGCCACGGCUAACUACGUG